rnacentral:rRNA from 1 species
CGUCUAUAUACGUAUAGCAUAUCAAUAAGCGGAGGAAAAGAAACUAACUAGGAUUCCCUCAGUAACGGCGAGUGAAGCGGGAAGAGCUCAAAUUUGAAAUCUUCAAGGUUCUACCUUGACGAAUUGUAGUUUAAAGAAGUGUUUUCUGUUGGAGUUUUGGUAAAAGUUCUUUGGAAUAGGACAUCAUAGAGGGUGAGAAUCCCGUAUUUGACCAUUAUUUCCAACUUUGUGAUACACUUUCAAAGAGUCGGAUUGUUUGGGAAUGCAGUCCAAAAUGGGUGGUAAAUUUCAUCUAAAGCUAAAUACUGGCGAGAGACCGAUAGCGAACAAGUACCGUGAGGGAAAGAUGAAAAGAACUUUGAAAGGAGAGUUAAACAGUACGUGAAAUUGUCAAAAGGGAAGCGUUUGACACCAGUUUUGUUUUCUCGAAAAUCAAUUAAAAAUGGCGGAUGUUGUGUUGUAUUGACUUUAUCAGCUUUCUGCACUCUUUUCUGUCUUUUUUAAUGCACUUUUCGUUUAACAAGUCAACAUCAAUUUCUUUUGUUGUAAAAGGGUCAUUGGAAGGUGGCUUUCUUUUCGGAGAAAGUGUUUAUAGCCUUUGGACUUCUGCAAUCGGAGAGAUUGAGGUCUGCAGCGUAGAUCCUUCGGGGUUAGAUACAUUUGUGCUAAGUUAUAGCCUUUCAUAGACAACUUGUUGACUAUGAUCAGUCAUGUAGCUUACUCGCUUAUGUCUAUUUUACCUACGCUUAGGAUGUUGAUCUGUAGUGCGUGCGC